AUACGGAGGGUGCAAGCGUUACUCGGAAUCACUGGGCGUAAAGCGCGCGCAGGCGGCUUGAUAAGUUGGAUGUGAAAGCCUACGGCUCAACCAUAGAACUGCAUCCAAAACUGUCAGGCUAGAGUGUGGGAGAGGAAGAUGGAAUUAGUUGUGUAGGGGUAAAAUCCGUAGAGAUAACUAGGAAUACCAAAAGCGAAGGCAAUCUUCUGGAACACUACUGACGCUGAGGCGCGAAGGCGUGGGGAGCAAACAGGAUUAGAAACCCCGGUAGUCC
rnacentral:rRNA from 1 species